rnacentral:rRNA from 1 species
AUGCUUAACACAUGCAAGUCGAACGGGAUUAUUAUCUUCGGAUGAUAUGAGAGUGGCGAACGGGUGAGUAACACGUAAGAAUCUACCUUUAGGACGGGGAUAACUUCUGGAAACGGAUGCUAAUACCCGAUAUGCUGUGGAGUGAAAGGAAUUUCGCCUAAAGAUGAUCUUGCGUCUGAUUAGCUAGAUAGUGUGGUAAUGGCGCACUAUGGCGACGAUCAGUAGCUGGUCUGAGAGGAUGGACAGCCACAUUGGAACUGAGACACGGUCCAAACUCCUACGGGAGGCAGCAGUGGGGAAUUUUCCGCAAUGGGCGAAAGCCUGACGGAGCGACGCUGCGUGAAGGAUGACGGCCUGCGGGUUGUAAACUUCUUUUCUCGAAGAAGAAUAAAUGACGGUAUUCGAGGAAUAAGCAUCGGCUAACUCUGUGCCAGCAGCCGCGGUAAGACAGAGGAUGCAAGUGUUAUUCGGAUUGAUUGGGCGUAAAGCGUCUGUAGGCGGUUUGGAAAGUCUUUUGUGAAAUUCUUCAGCUCAACUGGGGGUCCGCAAAAGAAACUUCUAGGCUUGAGGGAAGUAGAGGUACAGGGAAUUUCCGGUGGAGCGGUGAAAUGCGUAGAUAUCGGAAGGAACACCAGUGG